rnacentral:piRNA from 1 species
UAUGAACGCUACGAAAGCUUGUUCUAUAA